rnacentral:lncRNA from 1 species
UAACUCCUGGCCUCAAACCAUCCUCCUACCUUGGCCUCCCAAAGUGCUAGGAUUACAGGUGUGAACUACCAUGCCCAACCAAAAGCCAAAUCGUUUUAUUCUUGAAAAAGGACUCAACAAAUCUGGGUUGAGUUAUAUGUUGACUCCUUUUGAACUCAGAGUAACCCUGAAAAGUCCUGUAGCAUUUUAAGGAUAAGCAAGGCCUGAGCAAGCUACUGAAGCAGGAACUGAGAAACUGAACGGAAAGAACAAGAGAGAAAGGAACAAAUCCAGAGGCAUGUGGACCAAAGGAGAGAGUUGAGGGACGGGGUCUCAAUAUGCUGCUCAAGCUGGUCUCGUACUCCUAGGCUCAAGAGAUAUCCCUUCCUUGGCCUCCCAAAGUGCUGGGAUUACAGGCAUGAACCACUGCACCGGGCCUAUUUUCUUGACUGUGA